UUGGUACCGUCAAGACUCUGAGUUAUUAACUCAAAGCUUUUCUUCCCAAUUGAAAGUGCCUUACAACCCUAAGGCCUUCUUCACACACGCGGUAUUGCUGGAUCAGGCUUGCGCCCAUUGUCCAAUAUUCCCC
rnacentral:rRNA from 1 species